GGCUCCAAGUUUGAAGUAGAGUAGAUUAGAAGGAUCAUCUGACCCCACUAAACUGCUCUACUUAGAGUUUGUGCCC
rnacentral:pre_miRNA from 1 species